UACGGAGGGUGCAAGCGUUAUCCGGAUUCACUGGGCGUAAAGGGUGCGCAGGCGGCCAAGUGUGUCAGGUGUGAAAUCCCGAGCUUAACCUCGGAACUGCGCCUGAAACUACUUGGCUAGAGUACUGGAGAGGGUAACGGAAUUCACGGUGUAGCAGUGAAAUGCGUAGAUAUCGUGAGGAACACCAGAGGCGAAGGCGGUUACCUGGACAGUUACUGACGCUCAGGCACGAAAGCGUGGGGAGCAAACAGG
rnacentral:rRNA from 1 species